CUACAACGCCCCAUGAACCAACUGAAAGCGAAGACGGAGAUCAAGAUAAGCACUUGUUGUCAUCUCCAAUCAGUAGUCGUGAAGUGGCUUUCAUAAGAGAGACUCAAAGGUGAAAACAUGCUGCCUGAAGGGGAUUCAAUAUGUAUUAUCGGUUUAUUAAAGGCUAUCGACUCGCCCCACAGAACCACUGCUCAAAUUCUCCAUUUGCUUGCUAUAUGUAUUACUAGUCCAUUGAUUUUCAAACCUUUUUUGCUUUGGUUAUUAAGGUUUCCUUUUAGUGUGCAAUAUGUAUUAGUUCAAAGUGACAGGAUUGUCAUCUAUUGAGUUAUGCCUUUGUUACAGAUCACAAAUACCCAUGUAAACAUUCUGAG
rnacentral:misc_RNA from 1 species